UUUAGGAGUUUUAGACAUCAGAUGGUAUUAUAUUACAUAUCCUGGACUGCCUGGUUAGAAGGAACACUUUAUUUUGUUCCCAUUUUCUUUUUCUUCCCUUGAAGUUAAUUAAAUAAAUGUUCGCAGUGAUUUAAAAGGUCAACAUGAAGGACAGAUUCUCAAACUAUGUGGCAAUACAAACUAACAUUUACUUGAACCUCACUGGUUAACCUCUUUUUCCUUGAUAAUGAAGGUUUGCAUAGUUGAAUAAAUGCAGUUUUUAAAAAUGAAAUUUUAUGUAUUAGCCCUCCCAAAAAUGGGGAGUUUCUACUAAAGAUUCCCAGCAUUAUCUCAAACCAAUUAAAUCAAAUAUUUAUUAAGUAGCUCAGGUAUUGAUAGUUAAAAGCUUCCAGGUGAUUCUGAUUUUUAGAGUUGAGUAGCAUUGAUGACUUCUUACAAGCUCUAAUAAAAGGUCACCAAAUACAAAGCAGUUUCCCCUAUUUUUAUUCUCAUGUAGUUAUUCCACAGAAUGUUUUAGCAAAAUUAAGUAAGUACAGUGGAACCUUGGUUCUCAAACUUAAUUCAUUCUGGAAAACUGUUCAAGAAGCGAUUUAUUCAACCAAAUCUCCUUAGUCAUUUGAGAGACUUGUGAUUGAUUGUAUAGAUAUCAGCACAAAAGGGUUUUUGGAUUCAGAACCAAGACCAGAAGUUUUGUUAGAUGACUGAGAUUUUCUUCUGUGAACAACUUGGUUGAGAAAUGAAUUGUUCAAGAACCAAGAUGUUCAAGAGCUGAGGCUUGAUAUGAACUUAAAAAGGUAUAGGUGAAAUGGUCAAAGUCUUAUUUUUACUUUGAGUACCCAUAUUCAGGGUCAUGUAGGUAUCUGUUAAUUUAGAAAUACUGCUAUUUUAAAAAGCCACAUUUCAUAAAGCAUACUAUACAUUUUUGAAGUUGACCUCUUUACAGUUUCCAGAUCAAAUAAUCUUGUCUUCAUUUCAAUUGUUUGAGAUUUAGCACUUUUUUCAUAUCAGUGAUUAGUUCUGUUAACCAUCCAUAGCCACAAGUACGGAUUCAUAUAAUAUCCAGACAGUUGUGGUUGUGUGUGUGUGUGUGUGUGUGUGUGUGUGUGUGUGUGUGUGAUCUCCAUGAUACAGUUACUAUAGUGCCUUUUAGCUGUGAUCUUCAAAAGGUACUCAUCACUUGAUGAUUAUGAGGUCAUACUCACAAGAAUAAUGACUGUCAUUAAUUUUCUUUGCCUCCUGUUUGAUUGUCUGUUGACUUUCAUAGCAUUUUAAACAAGCAUUGAUUGAACAUCCUUGCUCUGCCUUGAAUAUCACCAUCAAUGCACCUACCUCAGGACCUUUACAUUUUGCUGUUCCCUCUCUUUCCCCAAUUAGCUGCAUAAUUUACACCUACACUUCUUUCAGAUCUCUCCUAAAAGAUGACCUUAUCAGUGAGGUCUUCUGUGAUUUUUUUUAACCUCUGUGCUUUAGUGUCUUUUUCUUUUUA